UGGCUAGGUAAGUCCCUUGUUAAAUCCACCGAAUUAAUCGUUGGAUCGCGGGGGAUACUGCUUGGCUAGGGGACGAGAGAGGCAGACGGUAUUUUCGGGGUAGGGGUGAAAUCCUAUAAUCCCGGGAAGACCACCAGUGGCGAAGGCUGUCUGCUAGAACGCGCCCGACGGUGAGGGAUGAAAGCUGGGGGAGCGAACCGGAUUAGAUACCCGGGUAGUCCCAGCUGUAAACGAUGCAGACUAGGUGUUUGGACGGCCACGUGCCGUUCUAGUGCCGCAGGGAAGCUGUUAAGUCUGCCGCCUGGGAGUACGAUCGCAAGAUUGAAACUUAAAGGAAUUGGCGGGGGAGCACCACAAGGGGUGAAGCUUGCGGUUUAAUUGGAGUCAACGCCGGAAAUCUCACCGGGAGCGACAGCAGUAUGAAAGCCAGAUUGAAGGUCUUGCUAGACGAGCUGAGAGGAGGUGCAUGGCCGUCGCCAGUUCGUGCCGUGAGGUGUCCUGUUAAGUCAGGCAACGAUCGAGACCCGCGUCCUCUGUUGCUACCAGCUUUGAGCUGGGCACACUGAGGAGACCGCCACUGAUAAAGUGGAGGAAGGAGCGGGCCACGGCAGGUCCGCAUG
rnacentral:rRNA from 1 species